rnacentral:rRNA from 1 species
GGAGGGUGCAAGCGUUGCUCGGAAUUAUUGGGCGUAAAGGGUAGGUGGGUGGUCUCAUUUGUCUGGGGUGAAAGCCUUGAGCUUAACUCGAGAAGUGCCCCAGAAACGGUGAGACUGGAGUCCUGGAGAGGGUCGUGGAAUUCCCGGUGUAGCGGUGAAAUGCGUAGAGAUCGGGAGGAACACCAGAGGCGAAAGCGGCGACCUGGACAGGUACUGACACUCAAUUACGAAAGCGUGGGGAGCAAACAGGAUUAGAUACCCUGGUAGUCCACGCUGUAAACGAUGGGUACUAGGUUUGGUGGGUCUUGACCCCCGCCGAACCGGMGMWAACGCACUAAGUACCCCGCCUGGGAAGUACGGUCGCAA